rnacentral:rRNA from 1 species
ACGUGAGCAACCUGCCUUUCANAGGGGGAUAACAGUUGGAAACGACUGCUAAUACCGCAUAACGCUGCGAUGGGGCAUCCCGAUGCAGCCAAAGGAGCAAUCCGCUGGAAGAUGGGCUCGCGGCCGAUUAGCUAGUUGGUGGGGGCAACGGCCCACCAAGGCGACGAUCGGUAGCCGGACUGAGAGGUUGAUCGGCCACCAUUGGGACUGAGACACGGCCCAGACUCCUACGGAAGGCAGCAG